ACGUGAUACUCUCUCCUCGCCGUCUCCUCAGCCAUUCGCCCUGCGCCUGCUGAUGUGAUGUGACGGGUCUCCCGUUGUGUUGCAGCGGUGAGGUGGUGUUGCAUCUUUUCUCAGCGGGCGUGUUGUGGUGGAGUGCGGUGUGGAGGGAGAGGUGGAUAGGAGAUAAUUGGUGGGCUGUGUGUGGUGAGUGCCACAUUGUCUGUGAGGGACCCCCAGAGCCACACAGCACCAGCUGCAACAGCUACAGCAGCAGCAGCAGCAGCAGCAGCAGCAGCAGGAGGAGGAAAUGGCAUCCACCUUCUACCUCACCCAGUGUCACCGGGGCCUCCUCCUCCUCCAGCAGCUGGCCAGGGUGCAGGGACAGGAUGAGCAAGCAGGUGGUGACAGAGAGGGUGGCCAGCUUGUCCCUCCCUCCUGCCACCCAGCCACAGCACUGGCAGUUGCUGCAGUGAGACUGCCCAGGCACAAGUUUGUGCACGUGUCCAGGACGUGAAGGUGAUGGGAACGUGUCCUGUAGGAGGGAGCAGAGCUGUAACAGUACCCGAGUCUGCUGCUGUGCUGGGAGAAGGAGAAAAACAUCAGCAGUAGUUAGUAGUGGUAGUAGAAGUAUUCAGCAGUGGUGGGGCUCUGCUGCUGCUGCUGCUGUCAGUGGUGCAGCUGUUCACUCCUCCACAGCUGCUGCCUUCCCUCAACAUACUGUGUCUUCCCUCACCUACAAUGAACAACUAUGAACAAUACCUCUCGUGCAAUCAGGCAGCGCUCAGCUGUACUCACCGAUAGACUGACCACUAAGAAUUACCUGUGGGCCACAUGACAAGGCCCACGCCAGCCAGGCUUGGUUGCCAAUCAAUAACAACAACAACAACAACAACAACAUCUCAUGCAAUGAAGAACACUGAAUAACAACAACACCUCUCCCCUGCAUCAUCAACAAUCAACAACAUCUUAGUUUCACUGAUGCUGCCCCCCCCCCCCUCUCUCUCUCUCUCUCUCUCUCUCUCUCUCUCUCUCUCUCUCUCUCUCUCUCUCUCUCUCCUCACCUCAGGCCACAGCGCCACAGUAUGUCCCCCCACAGUAUGUUUACAAACCCACAGUGACUCCCCACAGCCCCUCACCAAUAAGUGACCCCCUCACACACACACACACACACACACACACACACACACACUGCAUCUUGUACAAUGGCCACAAUAAAGAAUGGACACACAAAA